AGUGAACGCUGGCGGUAGGCCUAACACAUGCAAGUCGAACGGCAGCACAGUAAGAGCUUGCUCUUACGGGUGGCGAGUGGCGGACGGGUGAGGAAUACAUCGGAAUCUACUUUUUCGUGGGGGAUAACGUAGGGAAACUUACGCUAAUACCGCAUACGACCUACGGGUGAAAGCAGGGGAUCUUCGGACCUUGCGCGAUUGAAUGAGCCGAUGUCGGAUUAGCUAGUUGGCGGGGUAAAGGCCCACCAAGGCGACGAUCCGUAGCUGGUCUGAGAGGAUGAUCAGCCACACUGGAACUGAGAAACGGUCCAAACACAUACGGGAGGCAGCAGUGGGGAAUAUUGAACAAGGGACGCAAGCGUAAACCAGCCAUACGGCGUGGGGGAAGAAGGACUUCGGGUUGUAAAGCCAUUUUGUUGGAAAAGAAAAGCAGAAGGUUAAUACCCCGCUGUUCUGACGGAACCCAAAGAAGAAGCACCGGCAAACUCGGU
rnacentral:rRNA from 1 species